ensembl:lncRNA
GUAUAUGCAAGAAAGGCGACAGUGAGGCGACAAAGAGCAACAUUGCUGCUCCACAGAUGCUGGAGGAUCCAUCCAGGCUGAUAGGAGUAAGAUACUUUCAACCCCCAUGGUGGUGGAAAAUGAUAGUUGUGAUGUAUGUAUGUGUGUGUUUUUUGUGUGUGUGUGUAGGGUCAAAAAGAACGACAGCAGAAGUCAAAGUAAAUCAUUUGUUGACACGCAGGUCUCUCUAAUGUGUGUUAAAGACGAGUGGAAAUAUAACGUGAAUGCCCCAAAUUCCACCCAUGUAACAUUUCAUUGACCUUUUUAUUAAAACUACUCCACAGAGGUUUUGUUUCAUCUUAUCAGCUAUUAUUGAGGCUGCGUGCAUUUGCAUUUAUUUAAUGACACAUAACAAUGCAUUUUACAAACUGCCUUCCAGUGCAAGUGAUUGUCAAAUAUAGAACCUGGAAAGUGUAAUUUGCACUACAGAAAAGUGUAUAUAAUCAAAUUUAAGGAUCUCAUUAAAGCGUUGCAGCAAAACAUCCGCCCCACCUCGAUACCAAUCCAAACCACAUUUUGACGCACACAUCCGAAUUCAAAACCACACACUCAACGAGAAACAAAGUCUAUCAGUCACUUUCUUUCCCCGUGGGCUGCUGGUUCAGUUUAUCUGCCUGCUCCACUGUGCUUGCCGAGUCGCUCCUGCUGCUGAAGAGUUCUUCAAACGACUCCAUGAUCUCCUGCAUGUCUCUGGACAAGUCAGCGUAACUCUCCUUCAGCUCUUCUUGCUGCUGCCUCAGGUCGCCCGCCGCGCGGACCAGCUCAGAUGCCUGCAGGCUGCACUCGCUCCGCAGCUGCUCCACGUCCAACAGCAGCUCCUCCAUGUUCUUCAUCACCUGCUCCAGCCGGUCGGCGGUCCCCUCCAGCCCGGACGUGUCCGGAGUCCAGACCAGGCUGUUGUCCGGAGCCAGGGCGUCAAACUCGCCGUCGUCCUUGGACGCCAUCCUUCUGUCGUGGCAGCUGAGGCUCCGGCCAGAUUUCAGGGAGACAACAGAUAUCUGGAAGAAAAAGGGGAAUCGUUCGUCCGGUGUAGGCGAUCGCGGUUGGAGGUCAAAGGGUUCAAACAGGAAGUUACCCGAGCAACUCGCCCCCCAGUCCCGACCCGUUGCAGGCCGGAGCGGACGGGUCACCUGAUCACGUUGUUCUUCGACCCUCUGAGUAGAUCAGUGGGAGGCCUGGACAAUGAUACGUACACACUCAUACGCACAUUACAAUCUCUUUUCUAUUCUGUCUCACCCUCUGUCUAUCUGUCUGUCUGUCUGUCUGUCUCCCUUCCCAGCAGGCACUGCUCUGACGAUGAACUUAUUUGUUUGGGCCAAACGCUUGUGAAUGUGUCGAUUAAUCACACUGACAUCGUUUUUUUAAGACAUGAUGACGCAAAGCCGGUAUGUAUACGUAUGACUCUAUGUCUAAACUACUUCAUAGUCAUACUAGACACACACACAUGUCCCUGUGUCAUGAAGGUAAAUCAAAUGGUCCAUUAAAUAAAAUAAACGAUUUACAAAUUUAAGAAAGAAGGUAGUGAGAAUACUACUUUUAAUUGAUGGAUUGUUAUUUAAUUGAUUUUUGGGCAAGGACACUGUGACUGAAGUGGUUCAGAAAACGUAAAUGUUUACAAAAUGUGUGGAAUGUGUGAUGGAAAUUUUUGUAAUUUAUAGUGACAUUUUUUCAAGUCGGUUAACGUGUGUAUGUUCAUCAGAAAUGACCAGUUCCAUGUAGAAUUACACGUGUGACAUUUCAAUCAUCUGGAAUAAAAGUGUUUUAUUGUUUCUGUUUUUACACUGAGAAAUACACACAUACAAGAG